rnacentral:rRNA from 1 species
UACGAAGGGGGCUAGCGUUGCUCGGAAUCACUGGGCGUAAAGGGUGCGUAGGCGGGUCUUUAAGUCAGGGGCGAAAUCCUGGAGCUCAACUCCAGAACUGCCUUUGAUACUGAAGAUCUUGAGUUCGGGAGAGGUGAGUGGAACUGCGAGUGUAGAGGUGAAAUUCGUAGAUAUUCGCAAGAACACCAGUGGCGAAGGCGGCUCACUGGCCCGAUACUGACGCUGAGGCACGAAAGCGUGGGGAGCAAAUAGG